AUCUAAGUAGUUUAAUAAGAAUGGGAAUGUGUGGUGUUUUCGGAGCCUAAGGGUCUUAGAUA
rnacentral:tRNA from 1 species